rnacentral:lncRNA from 1 species
GGCCAACAUGCCAUGCCUUUCUUCCUAUAACGUUCCUGUAGUGAUCGACAUAAGCGGCUUCUAGCUCAUAGAAACUGUUGACGAUGAACCCAUAGCUUUUCAGCUCUGCUUCUCUCCAUUUUUUAACCGACCUGGUAAGUUCAUUUUCUUCAUUUUGUGUAAAAAUAACAGCCAUCUGAUCUCUUGUGAGUUUAAUAUCACCAGGAACGUUAGGAAACACAAAAGGUUCAGAACCUGAUUUGACUUUCUUCUGUGGCUCAUAUAGAUUAACAGAAUCUGAUAUACACAACGACAAGAAACUGCAACCAUUAAACAUCAACCUGGGGAUGUCGUACUUGUUUGCAAUAUCACUGGCCCAAGUGAAAAACAUAUCGACGAGCAAGCAAUCUGGUUUACAUUCUUGUAU